AACCCUAUGAGACUAUUCUCAUUGUACUGAGAGAAAACGGAUUUGGGGCCAGCAAUGGUGAGAGAAAAUGGUGAUGAUUCUUAAACUCUGAACUUCAAGCAUUAAGAAUUGGCUGCAAUAGAAAACUGGUCCUAGAUGGUCCCAAGUGGCCCAUCAUGAGCCAGAUACUAGUGGGGGAUAUAGGGAGGACCAGAGGCCACAGAGAACCACGUGAUGAAUGUAGAAGAAAGAGGGUUUUAAAAGGGCCAGGGCAGAGGUGUU
rnacentral:lncRNA from 10 species